GCCCCAGUAACGGCGAGUGAAGCGGCAACAGCUCAAAUUUGAAAUCUGGCCCCUAGGGCCCGAGUUGUAAUUUGCAGAGGAUGCUUUUGGCGAGGUGCCUUCCGAGUUCCCUGGAACGGGACGCCAUAGAGGGUGAGAGCCCCGUCUGGUUGGAUGCCGAGCCUCUGUAAAGCUCCUUCGACGAGUCGAGUAGUUUGGGAAUGCUGCUCUAAAUGGGAGGUAUAUGUCUUCUAAAGCUAAAUACCGGCCAGAGACCGAUAGCGCACAAGUAGAGUGAUCGAAAGAUGAAAAGCACUUUGAAAAGAGGGUUAAAUAGUACGUGAAAUUGUUGAAAGGGAAGCGCUUAUGACCAGACUUGGACCCGGUGAAUCAUCCAGCGUUCUCGCUGGUGCACUUUGCCGGGCUCAGGCCAGCAUCAGUUUGCCUUGGGGGAUAAAGGCUUUGGGAAUGUGGCUCCCUCGGGAGUGUUAUAGCCCAUUGCACAAUACCCUGGGGCGGACUGAGGUUCGCGCAUCUGCAAGGAUGCUGGCGUAAUGGUCAUCAGCGACCCGUCUUGAAACACGGACCAAGGAGUCGUCUUCGUAUGCGAGUGUUCGGGUGUAAAACCCCUACGCGUAAUGAAAGUGAACGCAGGUGAGAGCUUCGGCGCAUCAUCGACCGAUCCUGAUGUUCUCGGAUGGAUUUGAGUAAGAGCAUACGGGGCCGGACCCGAAAGAAGGUGAACUAUGCCUGUAUAGGGUGAAGCCAGAGGAAACUCUGGUGGAGGCUCGCAGCGGUUCUGACGUGCAAAUCGAUCGUCAAAUAUGGGCAUGGGGGCGAAAGACUAAUCGAA
rnacentral:rRNA from 1 species